rnacentral:tRNA from 47 species
CGGCAUGUAGCGCAGCCUGGUAGCGCACCGUCAUGGGGUGUCGGGGGUCGUAGGUUCAAAUCCUAUCAUGCCGACCA